rfam:Ixodes scapularis strain Wikel colony gcontig_1108378874396, whole genome shotgun sequence.
GCGUCGGUGGUUGAGUGGUAGAAUACUCGCCUGCCACGCGGGUGGCCCGGGUUCGAUUCCCGGCCGACGCA